rnacentral:lncRNA from 1 species
AACGCUCUCCGGGACAGUGUAAGGCCUUUUUGUCUAAAAAAAUUCAUUGUAGUGCUUUCAGGUGUCAUAAAUUUGUUCCUGUUUUGCCACCUCCUCCGCCACUUUCACCGCCCUUGCCUGCCCCUCCGCCACCUGUUUAUUCGCCUCCGCCACCAGUUUAUACUCCUCCUUCUCCUUCCCCACCACCUCCUCCACCUCCAGUUUAUUCACCACCGCCACCACCACCCUCUCCACCUCCUCCAUCACCUCCCCCGCCUCCACCACCAGUCUAUUCACCUCCACCCCCACCUCCAUCUCCUCCUCCACCAUCACCUCCACCACCACCCCCGCCAUCUCCACCUCCACCACCAGUUUAUUCAUCACCACCACCGCCACCAUCUCCCCCUCCACCAUCACCUCCACCUCCUCCCCCACCCGUUUAUUCGCCACCACCAUCUCCACCUCCUCCAUCACCAUUGCCUUAUUGUAUACGCUCACCUCCACCACCAAAUUCCCCACCUCCUAAUUCUCCACCUCCACCGCUUGCUCACUCGCCUCCACCCCCUUCACCUUACUAUUACAAUUCACCACCACCUCCGCCCCCAAAUUCGCCUCCUCCUCCACCAGUAUACAUAUACUCAUCACCUCCGCCACCAAAUUCACCUCCUCCUCCACCGCCAACAUACGUAUAUUCUUCACCUCCUCCACCUCCUUCCCCAUUGCCUUGUAUAGAACCCCCUCCACCACCUCCUCCUUGCAUUGAACCACCCCCACCCCCCUCCCCUUCACCAUCUCCUCCUCCACCACCGGUUUAUCAUUACAAUUCUCCGCCCCCACCAUCUCCAUCACCUCCACCACCAGUUUAUUAUCAUUACAAUUCUCCGCCCCCACCAUCUCCAUCACCUCCACCACCAGUUUAUUAUUACAAUUCUCCACCACCACCAUCACCACCGCCUACUCCAGUAUACGAAGGGCCAUUACCACCAGUAAUAGGAGUUCAAUAUGCUUCACCACCUCCACCACCCUUUUAUUAAUUCUUUCAGAAAUUUCACUAACUCUUAUCCUCAGAGCACAAAAUAGUUCCUACAAUUAUUAUUUC